rnacentral:rRNA from 1 species
GACAGAGGUGCCGAGCGUUAGGCGGAAUCACUGGGCUUAAAGCGCGUGUAGGCGGGGCGGAACGUCGGUCGCUGAAAUCCCCCGGCUCAACCGGGGAAGGGGCGCCGAUACGACCGGCCUGGAGGGACGUAGGGGGAGCUGGAACUUCCGGUGGAGCGGUGAAAUGCGUUGAGAUCGGAAGGAACGCCCGUGGCGAAAGCGAGCUCCUGGACGUUUUCUGACGCUGAGACGCGAAAGCCAGGGGAGCGAACGGG